rnacentral:rRNA from 1 species
GGAUAAUCUACCCUUAGGACCGGGAUAACCUUGGGAAACUGAGGAUAAUACUGGAUAGGCAAUUAUUCCUGUAAUGGUUUUUUGUUUAAAUGUUUUUUCGCCUAAGGAUGAGUCUGCGGCCGAUUAGGUAGUUGGUUAGGUAAUGGCUUACCAAGCCGUUGAUCGGUACGGGUUGUGAGAGCAAGAGCCCGGAGAUGGAACCUGAGACAAGGUUCCAGGCCUUACGGGGUGCAGCAGGCGCGAAACCUCCGCAAUGUGAGAAAUCGCGACGGGGGGAUCCCAAGUGCCAUUCUUAACGGGAUGGCUUUUCAUUAGUGUAAAGAGCUUUUGGAAUAAGAGCUGGGCAAGACCGGUGCCAGCCGCCGCGGUAACACCGGCAGCUCUAGUGGUAACAAUUUUUAUUGGGCCUAAAGCGUCCGUAGCCGGUUUAAUAAGUCUCUGGUGAAAUCCUGUAGCUUAACUGUGGGAAUUGCUGGAGAUACUAUUAGACUUGAGACCGGGAGAGGUUAGAGGUACUCCCAGGGUAGAGGUGAAAUUCUGUAAUCCUGGGAGGACCGCCUGUUGCGAAGGCGUCUAACUGGAACGGUUCUGACGGUGAGGGACGAAAGUUAGGGGCGCGAACCGGAUUAGAUACCCGGGUAGUCCUAACUGUAAACGAUGCGGACUUGGUGUUGGGGUGGCUUUGAGCUGCUCCAGUGCCGAAGGGAAGCUGUUAAGUCCGCCGCCUGGGAAG